GGUGGGGGGGAGUGGUCCCUUAGCUUGGAUUGCGAGAGGGUGUAGGCCAGGCCAAAGGAACCCACCAGUGCAUG
rnacentral:pre_miRNA from 1 species